rnacentral:RNase_P_RNA from 14 species
GAAAAAAAGAGGAAAAAAAAGAAAGAAAAGGAAAAAAAAAGAAGAAAACACACACACAAACACAUCCGACCCUCAGUGUGCCUUCCUUUUCUUGUGCUUGUCCUCGGUUGCUCGCUCCUCGUUGUUGCCCUUGUAGACGAAAUCCUGUAGCA